GGCCAUGGCCAGUCUCUACUUUGCUAUCUCUUCUCUCUCCUUUCUAUAAUAAAACAUCUUACGACCAUGCAUUGCCUCCUUUCAACUAGAGGCGCCCAGCGUUUGCAGCAGCAAGACCUGACCGAGAACUCCCAAGUACUCCCUGGCACAGGAACAACCAGGCCCCGAUUCCUUUCCCUGCCCCAUCUCUCUCUUCCGCCCCAGAGCGGAUUGAGCUGCUAUGGGGCCCCUAAUUAGUUCUCAGCUCCUCCGUGAUAUCCAGCGUCGCCUGUGAUACUCAGGGGCUAGAACCUGUGUCCUCGGCCUCUGUGAGGCCCAGGGACCGCCCCCCCCCCAAGCUCUUUCCUUCCAUCCCCUGCUCUCCAAGUCUCAGGAUCAUGAGGUCUUAUGCUGCAUCGGGAUCUUUCAUGUUUCAUACUUGUGUAUCUUCCAGGUCCACUUUCAGCAGAGAUGAGCAAUCGUGAGCUUGGCAGUGUCCAUUAGAAGACUGGCUUCCAACUUCCAGGAGGCUUGAGUUAUUCUUUGUGAGAUUUACCACUGAGAUAAUGAUAAUCCUCCCAAGGCCUGUUAUUGAAAAAUCAACCCGACCUUGAAGCUCUUUCGAGAUAAGGAGGCAGAUAAUUCAGCAAGAGCCUGUCUCCUGAAGGGCUAGAUGUGAUCUAUCUCUGCAGCCUUGCUGGAUGUCUCCAGGAAUGAAAAACCUCAUCCAAUACAAGCUUCAAAAUCUGCACGGUUGUUUUCUGGUUCUUAGCCUUGACUGACACCGCCUGCCUCUUGACUGAAGCACACGGGCAAGCCUCAAGCUUUCGGAAAGCCACUGUAAGUUUGCUGUUGAAAACGUCCAGGGUUGGAUGCAAUCUAAGCUCUGGUAAAGUACUUAAGCUAAUAAAGGGCUAACGCUUCGUCCACA